AGACUGUAGACUGAUGUCCAAUGAGGAGGUGCCAAAUUGUAGACUGUAGACUGUAGGAUUGCACUACUGUAGACAUGACGUCUGCGAUUCCCCCAAAUGUGGGGAACUCGGGAGUACAAUUUCUGAUAGUGGGGACUGCGUUCGCGCUCUCCCCGU